CACUGGUGAGAGUUGUAAACAUUUUUUUUCAAUGUGCAGUUAAGUGGCCAUUUAGAGCUAUUAUCUUACAGAUAUUGGGCCAAAUUUACCCUGUGAAUUUGGAAGCCAUUAAGACCAUGAAACAUCACAAUAUGGAGCUUGGAAAUAGCAAUGAAACCAUUGCCUUUAAAUGAGGAUAAGAGUUAUUAACCUUAUCACUUGUGGUGUCCCGAGGAUAACUUAAUAACUAAAUAUGAAACAAGCAGCCAGACUAGAUUAUCAGGUCAUCAGGAGGUAACUCUGGGGUUGAGCUGCAUAGCUAGCUCCUGAGCUGUGGGGUCAGUGCCCAAGGAAGAAAAUUUUACCUAGGCCUAGGAUUUUCCAGCAGUGAGAGAGAGAAAAGCCAUUUCAAGUAAAAAAGAGUGCUUACUCAAAGUUAGAGCUCCUAAAAUGAGGAGUCAACCAAAAGGCAGUCAUGUAGGCUAUGAAUACCUCUGUGUCCCAAGACACUAUAGGCGGUAGAUGCAAGCUCAAUAGUGGCCAGGGGCCAUUUACUCUGAUGUGUGUGUGUGUGUGUGUGUGUGUGUGUGUGUGUGUGUGUGUGUGUGUGUCCGGGAUGCUUACCAUUUUACCUAUGAUUGGAUAGAGAGAAAUAUCAAUCCAAUGGCUGUAAUGUCCAUGAGGUGGCAGGAAAUGUGAACCUGCCAAUGUGGAAAUACAACUUACUGCAGCAAAUGAUGAGUUUUAAAUCCAGGGAUAUAUUUUUGUGGAACACAAUUUGGUGCAAUGGGUGCCUCAGCAGGCCCAUGCUGAGGCAUCCCUUCCCCCCAAAAACCAGUCAAAAGAUGGGUCUAGUAUAGAAUAGAGUUGAUUUGGGAAAUGGGGAUGAAAGUUGGGAAGGGAGUAUGGACAGAGGAGAGAGAGAGAGAUAGAGAGAGAGAGAGAGAUCAGUUGUGAAUACCUAGAGACCAGGGGAUGUAGAAGUAGAGUGGGAGAAGGAGAACAGAGAGAUAAGAGGGAUAUAGAGAGAUCAAACAGUCCCUUUCAUAGCAAGACUACCUGGCUUUAGGUAGGUAACUGAUGGGCAGAACCUAGAAGGAAUGCUAAAGUGCUAACACAUUUGGUAGUUCCUUAUGCAUUUCCCUUUCCAAUGUCAUGUACUCUUUGACUUCCAGAAAAGAUAUUAACAAGUCGUAUUUACAUUUGCUGGAAAAUAAUUGUGUAUGAACAUUUAAAAUCAGAAGUCCUCCUACAUUUUUGUUUGCACUUUCAUUUUCAUAUUCAGCAGGCAUCUAAAUCACGAAGGCUUAAAGGUGCAUAGAAGACCCUGAGUGAUGUUUUUUGCUUGUGAAAACCAAGUACUGCUCUGCAAGAUUUCCAAUAACUCAUUUCAGAAAUCUCAAAACUAAAUAUAACUGCAGAUCUGGAGAUAUACACAGCCUUUGGCACCUAUACACAUAUGCUCAUUUUCUCUCUCUCUCUCUCUCUCUCUCUCUCUCUCUCUCUCUCUCUCUCUCUCUCUCUCUCUCUCUCUCUCUCUCUCUAACACACACACACACACACACACCACAGAGGCAGAGACAGAGAGACAGAGACAGAGAGAGAGAAUGGAGACACACAAAGACAGAGAAACAGAGUGAAAAGCAGACAGAGAGGAAGACACAGAGAAAUAUGUAUAUAAAUGGUUAAAAAUCAUGAAAUCUGGGUACCAUUGUGGCAAUUGCCUUUCUUCUAGCACUUAAGAGGCAGAAUCUUUCUUAGAGUUCAACGAAAAUGUAACCACUUCAUACCCAAACUUAUGGGACACAAUGAAAGCAUUUCUAAGAGGAAAACUCAUAGCUCUGAGUGCCUCCAAAAAAAAAAAAACUAGAGAGAGCAUACAUUAGCAGCUUGACAACACAUGUAAAAGCUCUAGAACAAAAGGAAGCAAAUUCACCCAAAAUGAGUAGAAGGCAGGAAAUAAUCAAACUCAGGGGCGAAAUCAACCAAGUGGAAACAAGAAGAACUAUUCAGAGAAUCAAC
rnacentral:lncRNA from 1 species